GGCUACUGUUUUUAGUUUUCUGCACAACUAAAGUCAUGGACCUUGCAAAACCCAUCGUCUACUUCCCAUGAUGAAUUUUGACCUAACAAUAGCCCCAUGCCUAUUUUAUGUAUAUAGUAUUUAACAGCCCCGCCAUUGGUAUUGGCUGACAGCAGAGGAAGGCGGAACCCAAGGUGUAUUCUGGGAAACGCUUCUGUCAAGGCGCACCAGGGACUUAAAUAAUAUGGACACACUAAAAUCAGCACCAAAGCUGCAGAAAAGUAAACACUGAAGUGUCCCCGGGAAACUGGAUCACACUGCAUUCCAUCACAGCAUACUAAUGCCAGCUCCGUCUUGACGUGAGGACCAUGCGGACAUUUGUUAAAGCUCAAAUGGAAACAUAUUUUUUCUGAAAAAUCUCCCGCAGAAGAGAAGACACUGGGAAUUAAUUCUGCAUGCAUGUUGACGUUUGUCGACUGGGACAAGGUCAGAUCCAGCACUUGGCAGGUGGCAGAGGGACUUCUGUAACACUUCUGUAAGGACAUUCUGCCUAAGGAGCUGACAUACUAUCCAUGGAUAAGUCUUAAACAUUCCAAUGUGUUCUCAAUGCAUGUAACCUGUGUCAGUGGUACCAAUAGAGUCACUUCCAGAUUGUUGCAUCUUCUCUUUCAAAUCAUUUCAGAGAUGUGAAGACAUACAUCUAAAAAAUAAUCAUUUGCGAUUAAGAGUCACUGAACAUCUCUGAUAAUUAAGUGUACAUGUGUUUCGCAUUAAUUCAGUUUAGCUUUUCUGCAUUUAUAAGUAGUGGGAUUCAGAUACGUUAUUUCAUAGACGUUUCUAAAAUGCACCAUCACAUGCUUAAUAAUACGUAGUGUGUUUUUAUUGUAUAUUAAUAUGAGAUCAAUGCAAAUUCUUUGGUCUUUAUUAAUAGAAAAGAGUCUCACACCUUUCAUAUUGUUAGCAGGGUUUUUAACAUUCAGAAGAAAU